UGGGGAAUAUUGCACAAUGGGCGCAAGCCUGAUGCAGCCAUGCCGCGUGUGUGAAGAAGGCCUUCGGGUUGUAAAGCACUUUCAGCGAGGAGGAAGGUGUGAACUUAAUACGUUCAUCAAUUGACGUUACUCGCAGAAGAAGCACCGGCUAACUCCGUGCCAGCAGCCGCGGUAAUACGGAGGGUGCAAGCGUUAAUCGGAAUUACUGGGCGUAAAGCGCACGCAGGCGGUUUGUUAAGUCAGAUGUGAAAUCCCCGGGCUCAACUGGGAACUGCAUUUGAAACUGGCAAGCUAGAGUCUCGUAGAGGGGGGCUAGGAAUUCCAGGUGUAGCGGUGAAAUGCGUAGAGAUCUGGAGGAAUACCGGUGGCGAAGGCGGCCCCCUGGACGAAGACUGACGCUCAGG
rnacentral:rRNA from 1 species